rnacentral:ncRNA from 1 species
GUCGCGAGGCCGAAUCUGAAGGAAGUCGGCGGCAAACGUCUGGCCUGACGAACAGAACCUUUAGCUCAUCGACCGCAGGGAGAUAAACUUGAUAUCAAGGCAGUCCAAGGUGGGUAAGGUUGCGAAAGAAACCGAAGCCCGAUAGCUAUACGGAACCGCGGCUGUAAAUCAAGCAGGUAUAAGGCGGAAAGA